rnacentral:lncRNA from 1 species
GUGCAGGGCUAGAGGUUUCAGAAGGAGUUUGAUGUCUCUUGGAUGUGGACAGAUUAUCUGGGACUUCUCUUUGGCGUGUGAGAACAUCUAACCCCCAUUCCUGUUUGGAAUCUCCAUCCAAAACCUCAAGGAUUUUGUUGAAGAAAGGGAAAAUCGUAUUGUCAGACUCAAAAAUGUUGCCGUCUUAAUUCCACAUUUAAUGUGGUUUUGGUGAGUACUUUCUUUGAGCAAUCUUAAAUUCAAGUCAAUCUCAUUAACUGAUGAGAUUAUCAUGUGCCAAUCACUCUGCUAAAUCCUGAGGACAAAAAGUUUAAUAAGACCUGCCUCAUUCAAUGAUAACUUGACAAUCUGGAGAGGAAAAAUGAACACACGUAACUGAAAUCAAAUGUAAGUGUUAGAGUAUAUAAAAAAUGCCCUAGUUUAAACCUCAUUGUCUCUCAUCUGGAAAACUGCUAAAGUGUAAUG